rnacentral:miRNA from 1 species
ACAGGAGAAGGGGGUGAGAGA